AGGAGUUACGAAAACAAGAAGUGGGAAAUGUUGGUGAAGCUUUCAGGGAAGAUGGGCUCGACUUCGAUUUGGACGGGGCUAUUUUGUAGCGGAAGCAAUUUCAUUGGGUACUUCAACUUUAUGGGUGACACAUGGUAAAACAUUUGAGACAUGGAUUUUUCCGCUUGCCCAUUUGCUUUGUGGCUAUUGCACAGAUGUAAUUCUAAGAUUAUGCCAGGAGAUUGUGUUUUUGAAAGUUGAAGUUGCAGAGCUUCUAUUAACAAGUAUUUUUGUAAAUCUAGCCAGGAGGAGAGACUUAGAUAUUGAUAUUCAACAAUUGAUAUCCUUGCAGGUAUUUUUUUCUUCUUUCUCUUUUUUCAUUAGUUUUUUUUUUCUGUCAUUUCAUGUAUUGAAACUAUAAUAAUGUUUAAUGAUUGUUGUAAUUUUUUAUUUCUUAAAAAUAAAUGACCUUUGUAUGAAAUUAAAUAUAGGAAACAGAUAACUCUAAGCAACUUAAUCUAGUUCUGAUUUCUAGGAAACAAAAUAAUUUUUAAAACAAGUUUAUCAGAGUCAACAAUCUAUAUAAAAUCUCAUUUUCAUGAUAUGUUUAUGUGUUUUUUUUUACAAUAAUCUAGUUUAUAAACUUUGACAAAAGUUGAAUCUGCCUUAUUCAUCUACUUCUAGAGCAGGAACAGAAAUUCAUUAAUUUUCUCAGUCUAUUUUUUUUAUUCGUUUUUUUACUUUAGUUGAUCCAGAAGCAGUAAUGUAAUGUACCUGAGCACAUUCUAGGUAGAUGUGUAAUUCAUAUUGGGAAAAUUGUUCGAUUGUUAUUAGGUGAACCUUUACUGGUCUUAUGCUGCAUUCUGUUACAUCUGCUCAUUAUUUUUCAUGCAAAUAUGCUAAUGCAACACUUUUUUUUUGUUGGUUUUGCCUUUUUCUUUGGAACUGGCUACAGCAACA